GAUUUGUGCAGAAUUAAAGCCUCUUUUGAGAGAGUACUUUACUUUCAGACGUGUAUCCAUCAGAGAUAAAUAAAAAGCUCAAAAAGCUAUCACAAAAGAGUUUAUGUUACUUUGGUUAUUGUGGUAUCUCUCUUGGUGACAAGUCUUCCCUUCAUAAUCAACUUCUUCGAAUUAAGAUCCCUGCUUUUACUAUGAAGCGGUACUAAUAAUUUAUUUUGAUGACAUAGUUCACUGAUACAUAAC